GAGUCGGGCGGCUGCCGGUGGGACGGCGGCCUGGUAUGGACCUCGUGACGACCCCUCUCGACGGAGGCCCCGCCGUAGCCCAGCGGCGCGCGGU
rfam:Roseisalinus antarcticus strain CECT 7023 genome assembly, contig: 0053